GUUUGAUUUGGCAUUCCCUGUGAUGAUGCAUGGGCUAAUCCAUUCUGAGAACCACGUCCAGAGGAGCCAUUCUGGGGUACCUCAUCAAGAGAUUCUUGUCCACUGCCUGCCUUAUGUUGUGAAUCAUUCUGAGAAUUAGCAUCACUAUCACUAGAACCUUCACUCCCACUAUCCCCACUAUGAGAGUAAUUGCCAUUGGCCGAUGCACCUGA
rnacentral:misc_RNA from 1 species